GCUGAAUCCAGAGCUAGGGUUCAAACCUUAUCCUCUCAAAUCCCUCCAAACCCUACCCUCCCUCCAUCGAUUCUCAGGCAAUGGCGUCCACUUUUAGCACCAUGUCUAUGAUUGGUUCUCUUUCUGGUUCCAGUAGCCUUGCUGGAGACAAGAGGCUUUCAGCCCCUUCUGGGAAGUUAUCCUCCCUUGCCUCAAUUCCAAGUUCAUUCCGUGGCAGAGGGCAGAACUUGCAUCUGCAGAAAAGAUCCAACUCUCAGAUCAGGGCUGCCAAGGAAUUGUACUUCAACAAAGAUGGGUCAGCUAUUAGGAAACUGCAAAUUGGUGUCAAUAAACUAGCAGACCUAGUUGGGGUUACCCUCGGCCCCAAAGGCCGGAAUGUUGUUUUGGAAAGCAAGUAUGGAUCCCCGAAAAUUGUCAAUGAUGGCGUUACAGUUGCAAAGGAGGUUGAGUUGGAGGAUCCUGUGGAAAACAUUGGUGCUAAGCUUGUUAGGCAGGCUGCUUCAAAGACCAAUGAUUUGGCCGGGGAUGGAACCACUACUUCUGUUGUUCUUGCCCAAGGGUUGAUAGCUGAGGGUGUUAAGGUGGUUGCAGCAGGUGCAAACCCUGUUCAGAUUACCCGUGGUAUAGAGAAAACAACAAAAGCUCUGGUAGCUGAGCUUAAGCUAAUGUCAAAAGAGGUUGAAGACGGUGAACUUGCAGAUGUUGCUGCGGUGAGUGCUGGAAACA
rnacentral:misc_RNA from 1 species